UACGUAGGGGGCUAGCGUUGUCCGGAAUCAUUGGGCGUAAAGCGCGCGUAGGCGGCCCGGUAAGUCCGUUGUGAAAGUCAAAGGCUCAACCUUUGAAUGCCGAUGGAUACUGCCGGGCUCGAGUCCGGAAGAGGCGAGUGGAAUUCCUGGUGUAGCGGUGGAAUGCGCAGAUAUCAGGAGGAACACCGAUAGCGAAGGCAGCUCGCUGGGACGGUACUGACGCUGAGGCGCGAAAGCUAGGGGAGCAAACGGG
rnacentral:rRNA from 1 species